rnacentral:rRNA from 1 species
AGAGUUUGAUCCUGGCUCAGGAUGAACGCUGGCGGCGUGCCUAAUACAUGCAAGUCGAGCGAACGGACGAGAAGCUUGCUUCUCUGAUGUUAGCGGCGGACGGGUGAGUAACACGUGGAUAACCUACCUAUAAGACUGGGAUAACUUCGGGAAACCGGAGCUAAUACCGGAUAAUAUUUUGAACCGCAUGGUUCAAAAGUGAAAGACGGUAUUGCUGUCACUUAUAGAUGGAUCCGCGCUGCAUUAGCUAGUUGGUAAGGUAACGGCUUACCAAGGCAACGAUGCAUAGCCGACCUGAGAGGGUGAUCGGCCACACUGGAACUGAGACACGGUCCAGACUCCUACGGGAGGCAGCAGUAGGGAAUCUUCCGCAAUGGGCGAAAGCCUGACGGAGCAACGCCGCGUGAGUGAUGAAGGUCUUCGGAUCGUAAAACUCUGUUAUUAGGGAAGAACAUAUGUGUAAGUAACUGUGCACAUCUUGACGGUACCUAAUCAGAAAGCCACGGCUAACUACGUGCCAGCAGCCGCGGUAAUACGUAGGUGGCAAGCGUUAUCCGGAAUUAUUGGGCGUAAAGCGCGCGUAGGCGGUUUUUUAAGUCUGAUGUGAAAGCCCACGGCUCAACCGUGGAGGGUCAUUGGAAACUGGAAAACUUGAGUGCAGAAGAGGAAAGUGGAAUUCCAUGUGUAGCGGUGAAAUGCGCAGAGAUAUGGAGGAACACCAGUGGCGAAGGCGACUUUCUGGUCUGUAACUGACGCUGAUGUGCGAAAGCGUGGGGAUCAAACAGGAUUAGAUACCCUGGUAGUCCACGCCGUAAACGAUGAGUGCUAAGUGUUAGGGGGUUUCCGCCCCUUAGUGCUGCAGCUAACGCAUUAAGCACUCCGCCUGGGGAGUACGACCGCAAGGUUGAAACUCAAAGGAAUUGACGGGGACCCGCACAAGCGGUGGAGCAUGUGGUUUAAUUCGAAGCAACGCGAAGAACCUUACCAAAUCUUGACAUCCUUUGACAACUCUAGAGAUAGAGCCUUCCCCUUCGGGGGACAAAGUGACAGGUGGUGCAUGGUUGUCGUCAGCUCGUGUCGUGAGAUGUUGGGUUAAGUCCCGCAACGAGCGCAACCCUUAAGCUUAGUUGCCAUCAUUAAGUUGGGCACUCUAAGUUGACUGCCGGUGACAAACCGGAGGAAGGUGGGGAUGACGUCAAAUCAUCAUGCCCCUUAUGAUUUGGGCUACACACGUGCUACAAUGGACAAUACAAAGGGCAGCGAAACCGCGAGGUCAAGCAAAUCCCAUAAAGUUGUUCUCAGUUCGGAUUGUAGUCUGCAACUCGACUACAUGAAGCUGGAAUCGCUAGUAAUCGUAGAUCAGCAUGCUACGGUGAAUACGUUCCCGGGUCUUGUACACACCGCCCGUCACACCACGAGAGUUUGUAACACCCGAAGCCGGUGGAGUAACCUUUUAGGAGCUAGCCGUCGAAGGUGGGACAAAUGAUUGGGGUGAAGUCGUAACAAGGUAGCCGUAUCGGAAGGUGCGGCUGGAUCACCU